GACGAACGCUGGCGGCAGGCCUAACACAUGCAAGUCGAGCGAGACCUUCGGGUCUAGCGGCGGACGGGUUAGUAACGCGUGGGAACGUGCCCUUCUCUGCGGAAUAGCCACUGGAAACGGUGAGUAAUACCGCAUACGCCCUUCGGGGGAAAGAUUUAUCGGAGAAGGAUCGGCCCGCGUUAGAUUAGAUAGUUGGUGGGGUAACGGCCUACCAAGUCUACGAUCUAUAGCUGGUUUUAGAGGAUGAUCAGCAACACUGGGACUGAGACACGGCCCAGACUCCUACGGGAGGCAGCAGUGAGGAAUAUUGGACAAUGGGCGAGAGCCUGAUCUAGCCAUGCCGCGUGUGUGAUGAAGGUCUUAGGAUCGUAAAGCACUUUCGCCAGGGAUGAUAAUGACGGUACCCGCAGAAUAAGCUCCGGCUAACUUCGUG
rnacentral:rRNA from 1 species